AUGGCGAAAUAUUGGUGGAGCAGCUCCCUUGAUAAACGGUCUUUGCACUGGAUCUCAUGGAAGUCGCUCGCAUCUCCCAAAAUUAACGGUGGAAUGGGCUUUCGCGAUAUGGAACUCUUCAACAUCGCUCUCCUAUGGAAACAUGGUUGGAGGUUCAUGACCAACCCAGAAUCUUUAUGUGCUCGUGUUAUGAAGAGCAGGUACUUCCCAAAUACUGAUUUCAUGCAAGCAACAAUGCCGCAAUCAUCCUCUGCCAUAUGGAGAGCUAUUGUGGCUGGGCGGGAAGCUCUUCGAGCGGGUCUGAUUAUGCGUGUUGGAGAUGGUAGUUCCAUCUCUGUUUGGAAUGACAAGUGGAUCUCAGGUACAAUACGCAUGUCCCCUAUGAUUAGACUGUCCAACUCCCCAAUUCAGCUCAUUCAGGAGUUAAUUGAUGAAACAAAUUGGAGGUGGAAUGAUGAUCUAAUCCGUAACACUUUCCUAGCACCAGAUGCGGAUGCUAUCCUAAAUAUACCAUUGCGCAACGGUGGAGGAGAAGAUUAUUUUGCUUGGGAUUUUGAAACUUCCGGUGUUUACUCUGUCAAAUCAGCGUACCGUGCUCUCGUGAAUCAAAAGGAGCGUGUUGCUCUAGAGGAAGGGACGGCUACCGGCACCUCAAAGACAGAUCAAUAG
rnacentral:rRNA from 1 species